CUGCUGUAUAAACCGCAGUCCACACAUGGCAGAGGGCACAGAUCCUGAAGAUCCUCUGUCAGAACCACUGGUCCUGUUGGGAAGUCACUGUGCCCUUUGUAUUCCAGAUGAUAACUCCUUCCUGCAACCAAACCAUCCAUCUCUGCUAGGUGGGAGGACAGCCUAGACACACAGUGCUCGGACAGACUCCUACAUACACCCACAAGCAGGUUCCUUUAUUUGGAGCUGAAUUCCACUCCCAGUUUACCAGAGGUCAUCUCUUGCCUAAGAAGAGCUGAAUGGCACAUCUCUGCAGAACCCAGGUCAUGGAGGACCUACUGACAGGAGAUUAACCAUCAGUUUAGUGCAAGCUUGUCAGUGGGGGAAGGCAGAGAUUCUUCCAAUUAUCUUCAAAAAUGAGAUUCCUGAAUGGUACAAACUCUGUCCUCAAUGAUACUGAUACAGUGCCAAUAAAGUCAAUGAGAUUACACGUGUUUGAAUGAUGGCAGAAGACACUCCUGCAUGUUUACUGCAUUUGUCAAACACAUUCCAAAGGAUAAAAAGUGUAUAAAUAAAUGCAGCCUCUGUAAGUAUUGGUAUUUUUACUGAAUGGUUGUCUAUGGUUUUAAGUUCAUAUAAAAGUGGAUUUCUGGCUUUUUCCUUCAAGUAGCCUUUCACACUUCAUAGAUUUGCCUGUCUCAGGCCUUAUGUUUCAGGCCUCGAUUUGUAACCUCAGCAAAAUACAAGAAGAAAACUCCUGUGAAAUUUCUGUGAUGCAACUGUCACAUUAAAUGUGUAUACGUUUCUAUUUUGGGAAGAAAAGCUUAUUGUAUUUUGAUUAAUUGUCUUUGACAGACUAAUCUAGGAGCAUGAAUAGAUUCUAUUAUUGACUAUUAACUCCAUAACAGUCCUGGGGUUGGGAGUGUUUCCAGGAGGCAGGUCUCCUUUUGAUCCUACCAGACCUUAAUGAUACUGUUUGUAUUAACAUUAGCAGUGGCAUUUUAAAAAAUUCAAUAUUAAUUGAAUCCUCAUUUCUUCAUUACUUCCUGUAUACUGUGCUUUUCCAUGAGAAACAUGACUCAUGUCAACAAAUGCCUGGGGAAAUAUCUCCACCUUGUAAGCUACAAAAUACAUUCUAUCAUCCAGUUUAUUUAUGGCAGAAAUUUGGAAGUCUGCUGAGCUGGACACAGCUACCUAGCAAUGGAUGCAUUGCUGUUAAACAUGAGCAACAUGUGACAGUAAUAUCAAAUUAAUUUGUGGAGACAAAAUGCAUGCAAAUUGCAAUAAGCUAUAAUAAAGAAAUGAAAAGAAAUGGUGUAAUGUAUAUUUGCAGAGGUUUGUUUCUGUUGUUG